CCUACGGGAGGCUGCAGUCGAGAAUCAUUCACAAUGGGGGAAACCCUGAUGGUGCGACGCCGCGUGGGGGAAUGAAGGUCUUCGGAUUGUAAACCCCUGUCAUGUGGGAGCAAAUUAAAAAGAUAGUACCACAAGAGGAAGAGACGGCUAACUCUGUGCCAGCAGCCGCGGUAAUACAGAGGUGUCAAGCGUUGUUCGGAAUCACUGGGCGUAAAGCGUGCGGAGGCUGUUUCGUAAGUCGUGUGUGAAAGGCGCGGGCUCAACCCGCGGACGGCACAUGAUACUGCGAGACUAGAGUAGUGGAGGGGGAACCGGAAUUCUCGGUGUAGCAGUGAAAUGCGUAGAGAUCGAGAGGAACACUCGUGGCGAAGGCGGGUUCCUGGACAUUAACUGACGCUGAGGCACGAAGGCCAGGGGAGCGAAAGGGAUUAGAUACCCGGGUAGUC
rnacentral:rRNA from 1 species